GACGAACGCUGGCGGCGUGCUUAACACAUGCAAGUCGAACGGAAAGGCCCUGCUUUUGUGGGGUGCUCGAGUGGCGAACGGGUGAGUAACACGUGAGUAACCUGCCCUUGACUUUGGGAUAACUUCAGGAAACUGGGGCUAAUACCGGAUAGGAGCUCCUGCUGCAUGGUGGGGGUUGGAACGUUUCGGCGGUUGGGGAUGGACUCGCGGCUUAUCAGCUUGUUGGUGGGGUAGUGGCUUACCAAGGCUUUGACGGGUAGCCGGCCUGAGAGGGUGACAGGACACACUGGGACUGGGAUACGGCCCAGACUCAUACGGUAGGUAGCAGUGGCGAAUAUUGCAUUAUGGGCGGAAGCCUGAUGCAGCAACGCCGCGUGCGGGAUGAUGGCCUUCGGGUUGUAAACCGCUUUCGCCUGUGACGAAGCCUUAGUGACGGUAAUGGGUAAAGAAGCACCGGAUAACUACGUG
rnacentral:rRNA from 1 species